rnacentral:rRNA from 1 species
AGCAGCCGCGGUAAUUCCAGCUCCAAUAGCGUAUAUUAAAGUUGUUGCAGUUAAAAAGCUCGUAGUUGAAUUUCGGGACUAAUAUGUCGGUCGUACUUUGUACGUACUAGCAUUAUUGGUUUCUCCCUUCUGACGAACCACGAUGUCAUUAAUUUGGUGUCAUGGGAAAUCAGGACUGUUACUUUGAAAAAAUUAGAGUGUUUAAAGCAAGCUCGCGCUUGAAUACAUUAGCAUGGAAUAAUGAAAUAGGACGUUUGAUUCUAUUUUGUUGGUUUCUAGGAUCGACGUAAUGAUUAAUAGGGAUAGUUGGGGGCAUUAGUAUUCAAUUGUCAGAGGUGAAAUUCUUGGAUUUAUUGAAGACUAACUACUGCGAAAGCAUUUGCCAAGGAUGUUUUCAUUGAUCAAGAACGAAAGUUAGGGGAUCGAAGACGAUCAGAUACCGUCGUAGUC